rnacentral:rRNA from 1 species
UACGUAGGGUGCGAGCGUUAAUCGGAAUUACUGGGCGUAAAGCGUGCGCAGGCGGUUUUGCAAGCCGGAUGUGAAAUCCCCGGGCUCACCUGGGAAUGGCAUUCGGGACUGCAAGGCUGGAGUGCGGCAGAGGAGACUGGAAUUCCUGGUGUAGCAGUGAAAUGCGUAGAUAUCAGGAGGAAUACCGAUGGCGAAGGCAGGUCUCUGGGCUGACACUGACGCUCAUGCACGAAAGCGUGGGGAGCAACAGG